rnacentral:rRNA from 1 species
GAUGGUUUGACCUCGGAUCAGGUAGGGUUACCCGCUGAACUUAAGCAUAUCAAUAAGCGGAGGAAAAAAAACCAACCAA